AGCCCCGUCUCUCGCGCCA
rnacentral:tRNA from 1 species